GAUGAACGCUGGCGGCGUGCCUAAUACAUGCAAGUCGAGCGAACAGACGAGGAGCUUGCUCCUCUGACGUUAGCGGCGGACGGGUGAGUAACACGUGGAUAACCUACCUAUAAGACUGGGAUAACUUCGGGAAACCGGAGCUAAUACCGGAUAAUAUAUUGAACCGCAUGGUUCAAUAGUGAAAGACGGUUUUGCUGUCACUUAUAGAUGGAUCCGCGCCGCAUUAGCUAGUUGGUAAGGUAACGGCUUACCAAGGCAACGAUGCGUAGCCGACCUGAGAGGGUGAUCGGCCACACUGGAACUGAGACACGGUACAGACUCCUACGGGAGGCCGCAGUAGGGAAUCUUACGCAAUGGGCGAAAGCCUGACAGAGCAACGCCGCGUGAGUGAUGAAGGUCUUCGGAUCGUAAAGCUCUGUUAUUAGGGAAGAACAAAUGUGUAAGUACCUAUGCUCGUAUUGACGGUACCUGGUGAAAAAGCCACGGCUAACUACGUG
rnacentral:rRNA from 1 species